rnacentral:rRNA from 1 species
GACUAACGCUGGCGGCGUGCCUAACACAUGCAAGUCGAACGAGGUAGCAAUACCUAGUGGCAGACGGGUGAGUAACGCGUAGAUAAUGUGCCCUCUUGCGGGGGAUACCGUUUCGAAAGGAACGUUAAUACCGCAUAACACGAAGCCAAGGCAUCUUGGAAUCGUCAAACUUCCGGGGCGGGAGGAGCAGUCUGCGUUCUAUCAGCUAGUUGGUGGGGUAAUGGCCUACCAAGGCGACGACGGAUAACUGGUCUGAGAGGAUGAUCAGUCACACUGGAACUGAGACAC